rnacentral:rRNA from 1 species
GAUGAACGCUGUCUACAGGCUUAACACAUGCAAGUCGAGGGGAAACGACGGGGAAGCUUGCUUCCCCGGGCGUCGACCGGCGCACGGGUGAGUAACGCGUAUCCAACCUGCCUCUGACUGAGGGAUAACCCGUCGAAAGUCGGCCUAAUACCUCAUGGCAUCGUCUGCGGGCAUCCAACGACGAUUAAAGAUUUCAUCGGUCAGGGAUGGGGAUGCGUCUGAUUAGCUUGUUGGCGGGGUAACGGCCCACCAAGGCUACGAUCAGUAGGGGUUCUGAGAGGAAGGUCCCCCACAUUGGAACUGAGACACGGUCCAAACUCCUACGGGAGGCAGCAGUGAGGAAGAUUGGUCAAUGGGCGGGAGCCUGAACCAGCCAAGUAGCGUGCAGGAUGACGGCCCUAUGGGUUGUAAACUGCUUUUAUGCGGGGAUAAAGUGAGGGACGUGUCCUUCAUUGCAGGUACCGCAUGAAUAAGGACCGGCUAAUUCCGUG